AAGGCGCCGCAGAUUUAUAGUUUUUAAAAUUAAAAGGGGUCACGUGAGAUUCCUAACUCACUUGCUUCACGUUUCAUUCACGUUCUGCUCUGAAACUCAUCUUCUUUUUCGCGAUCUUGAAAAUUACAAAACCCUAAUCUCGUUCUCACUCAGCCAGCCAUGGAUUGAAGACUUUCACUGAGUGAUGGAUUGAAUCCAUGGAUUGAAGAGUCUCAUCUUGCGAUUUGUGUGUUCUUCUCCUAUUUUGAUUGAAGAACGAACAUUCUCUUGUUCAGUGAGAAAGAUCUGGCGGAGAAGAAACCAGAGAGAACGGAAACAAGUUGGCAAGAGGUUUAGCGAUGAAGAGAACAGGGACGGCGAUUUCCUUAGUGUGUGGCAAGGCAGAGGAGAACGCAGAUCUUGAUGAUAAUGAAGAAAAAGCUUGAGACUCAGGUUCGAUUUCCUCUGGUUCUGAAUGGGUUAGAAACGAAGUAAUGACAAAUUCGGUCGAUCUUGUCACCGAUUCACCCAAUGAUUUCAAGCACCACAGCAUUCUCGAUUUCUAAGUUGACCACCGUUGAAGCCAAAGGAUCCUCAUGGCCAUUGCAGUGAAGGAAGAGCAAAGCAUGGUCUCGGUUGUGAUGCCAAACCGCAACCUCGAAGCCAAACCACAAUCAGAAUCGCUCAAAGCAGAUUCCAGCUUCUUCGAUUAAUUCUUUGUGUUUUGUUUACUGUUGUCCUACAAUUGCUUUUGCUUUAAGACUGAUAUCUUCAUUUUUCUCAUAGAUGUAUGAUACGGACCACGUUUGAUGGAAAAGAAGCAACAGAGAACCAGAGUGGUACACCACCUGUUCGAUGAUAUGUCACAGUGGGAUGUUGCCUCCUUGCAAACCAGGAAUGGAGACGGAAAAGGAAUGGGUUUCGCGCAUUGACUGACACAGAAUAGCUCUUUUCACUUUAUCUCUAGACCUCUUUUGUUAAACUGUUUCUCUAGUUUUGGAAACUGAUUCUGGUUUUUUCUUUGGUUAGAGGUGAAAAGGUCAGUAUUGCAACUUAAUGAUAAUUGCAGCAGUCAACAUGUAUUACUGGAUAUUGAGGAAGAUGAGGAUACCUCUAAGGAGAACAAGGCUUGUGGGGGAUUUGCUUCACAGAAAGAAUGCAAGAAGAAUGGAAAAAGGAACAGAUCCCUUUAACCAGAGGCUGCAGUUUCAAAAGAAGGAGAAAUCAUGAUAAUUAGGAGAGCUGAAGUACUAAUCGAAUCACCAGUCAAACCUGGAAGCAUAGUUUUGACGGUGUUGAAGACUGUGACUACACUAUUUGAUGCCUUUCCAAAUGCAGCUGAAUUGUUAGAUACAACUCCUUCGUCAUCAAUGAUGAGCAUCUUCAACAUUUUUCUAGAUUUAACUCUAGAAAGUGCAACAUAUAGCUGCCCGUGAGUAAAGACAGGCCUUGGCAAAUACAAUCCAACAUGAGAUAAAGAUUGUCCCUGACUUUUAUUUAUAGUCAUCACAAAACAUAAAGUAACAGAGAAUUGUCUGCGCUGGAAUUUGAAUGGAAUGUCAGAAUUAGAUGGAGUUAAGCUCAUCCUUGGAAUAAAUGUUGUUUCACCCAUCUUGUUUCCAUUUAAAACAGUAGCAACAAUUAUAUAUUUAGUCAAUGCGUUGACUAUCAUUCGAGUGCCAUUACACAACCCUGCAGCUUGGUCUAUGUUUCGAAUGAGCAUGAUAGAGACACCAACUUUCAAUUUAAUUGCAUGGUUUGGUAUUUCAGAGCAUUUGAAAUCAUUUAAGAAUUCAGAUGUAAAUUAUUUCGCAUUGUCACCUGAAUCUUCGU